rnacentral:lncRNA from 1 species
GCUAGGAUUACAGGCGUGAGCCACUGCGCCUGGGCCUCUUUGUCUUAUAGUUUUUGUCUUCAAAUCUAUUUUGUAUGAUACAAGUAUAGCUACUCCUGCUCUUUUUUGGUUUCCACUGACAUGAAAUAUAUCUUUUCAUCCCAUUAUUUUAAGUCUAUGUGUGUCUUUACAGGGGAAGUGGUUCGUAAUAUCUAGGCGGGGAGAGUAGGGUGAUAUUACUCGCCAUAUUGUGGGGGGUGUCCACCCCCCUGUGAUAUGGUUCGUAAUAUCCAUUGUGGGAGAUGGGGGUGAUAUUACUCGUUAAUAUUCUAGGGGGAUGAUACUUCUAAAGUCGCAAAGGGUGCACACCCUGUGAUAUCAUUGGUAAUAUUCUAGGGGGAUGUUACUCCUAAUGUAACAGGUGUCUACACCCUGAUAUAAUUAUUCACAACAUACUAGCGGUAUACUACUACUAAUGUCACAAUGUGUGUACACCUUUUGAUAUUAUUUGUAAUAUACUGGGGGGAUGUUACUGCCAAUGUCACAGGGGUGUACAUGCUGUGAUAUUAUUUGUAAUAUUCUAAGUGGGUACUUUUAAAAUCAUAGGAGGUGUACACCCUGUGAUGUUAUUUGUAAUAUCCUAGGAAGAUGUAACUCUUAAUGUCACAUGGGGUGUACACCCUGUGAUAUUAUUUGGAAUAUCCUAUGGGGAUGCUACUCCCAAUGUCACAGGGGAUGUAACACCCUGUGAUAUUCGGAAUAUCCUAAAGGGAUGUUACAUUUAAUGUCACAGAUGGGGUACACCCUUUGAUAUUAUUCGUAAUAUCCUAGGGAGAUAUUACUUGAAAAAUCACAGUGGGUGUACACACAGGGCAUAUACCCUGUGAUAUUAUUCACAAUAUCCUAGGGAGGUGUAACUUUUAUUAUUACAGUAGGUGUACACUAUGGGUGUACACCCUGUGAUAUUAUUUGUAAUAUUUUUGGAAAAAUGACUCAAUAUCACAGUGGGUGUACACACUGUGAUAUUAUUCAUCAUAUCCUAGAAGUAGAUUACUCCUAUUGUCACAGCGGGUUAACACCCUGUGACAUUAUUUGUAAUAAACCAGGGGGAUAAUUCUCUUAAAGUCACAGGGUGUGUACACCCUGUGAUAUUAUUCAUAAUAUUCUAGAGGGAUGUUACUCCUACUGUCACAAAUAUGUACACCCUGUGAUAUUAUUCACAGUGUACUAGCUGGAUAUUAUUACUCAUGUCACAAUGCAUGUACACCUUGUGAUAUUAUUUGUAAUAUCCUAAGGGGAAGUUACUCCUAUUGUCACAGGGGGUGUACUUUCUGUGCUAUGAUUCGUAGUAUCCCAGGGGGAUGUCACUCCUACCAUACAAAGUGCGUACACCUUGGUAUAUUAUUCGUAAUAUCCUAGAAUGAUGUUACUCCUCAUGUCACGGGGGUGUACACCCUGUGAAG